AGACGCUGGCGGCAUGCCUACACAUGCAAGUCGAACGAUCCCUUCGGGGAUAGUGGCGCACGGGUGCGUAACGCGUGGGAACCUGCCUUUAGGUUCGGAAUAACUCAGAGAAAUUUGAGCUAAUACCGGAUAAUGUCUUCGGACCAAAGAUUUAUCGCCUUUAGAUGGGCCCGCGUUAGAUUAGAUAGUUGGUGGGGUAACGGCCUACCAAGUCGACGAUCUAUAGCUGGUCUGAGAGGAUGAUCAGCCACACUGGGACUGAGACACGGCCCAGACUCCUACGGGAGGCAGCAGUGGGGAAUAUUGGGCAAUGGGCGCAAGCCUGACCCAGCCAUGCCGCGUGUGUGAAGAAGGCUUUCGGGUUGUAAAGCACUUUAAGUUGGGAGGAAAGGUGCAAUGGCUAAUAUCCAUUGUAAUUGACGUUACCAACAGAAUAAGCACCGGCUAAUUCCGUGCCAGCAGCCGCGGUA
rnacentral:rRNA from 1 species